GUGCUCGCUUUGGCAGCAUGUAUUAAAAAAUUAGAAUGAUACAGAGAAGAUUAGCAUGGCCCCUGUGCAAGGAUGACACCCAAAUUCAUGAAGCAUUCCAUAUUUAA
ensembl:snRNA U6 U6 spliceosomal RNA